rnacentral:rRNA from 1 species
AAGCGGAGGAAAAGAAACUAACAAGGAUUCCCCCAGUAACGGCGAGUGAAGCGGGAAGAGCUCAAGCUUAAAAUCUCCAUGUUUUACAUGGCGAAUUGUAGUCUAUUGAGGCUGUUGUCAGCAUAGCGAUCUGGGACAAGUCCCUUGGAAAAGGGCAGCAUUGAGGGUGAUACUCCCGUCUCUGCUCAGAUUGUCUGUGUGUACGAUACGCUUUCUUUGAGUCGAGUUGUUUGGGAAUACAGCUCAAAGUAGGUGGUAAACACCAUCUAAAGCUAAAUAUUGGUGCGAGACCGAUAGCGAACAAGUACCGUGAGGGAAAGAUGAAAAGAACUUUGAAAAGAGAGUUAAAGAGUACCUGAAACUGUUGAAAGGGAACCGUAUCGUUUCCAGUGUUGUAUCCUGUGCAUAUUUCAUUAGCGGAGCAAUUUGCUGGUGCCCUGUGCAUGGGUGUGACGUCAGAGUCAGUUUGUAUGCUGCGGGAGAUGGUCAGUGAGGAGGUGCGUCACUUCGGUGAAAGUUAUAUCUCGCUGUCUAGUAGCCGUGGUUGAGACUGAGGUGCCUACAACAUGCCUUGGGGUUCAGUGUUGUCUCGUUUUGGUAACUGCUUGGAUAGCUUGCUAUGUCUGUGGUAUAUCGAGGCGAUUGAUGAUGUUGAUAACCUCUGCUGUUCGGGACUCUGGCGAA